UAUAGAGCUAUUUAAAAAGUGCAAUUAAACUUCAGACACGAGAUUAAACGUUCCUUAAAGAUAAAAUAUGUUUCUUUUCACCAAGUCAGAAUGGACAUGCUUUUAAUAUAUAGUGACGUGACAUACACGCACGCGCUCGCUUCCACAACUGACGCACCGCGCGCACAGUAUUGACAAGAAAAGAGUUGUGAAACUUUCUAUCUCGUAAGGAGUUAUAACGUGAAAUAAUGACACAAACUGGCUACACCAUCUCAUCUGCAGCAGAGACUGUUGUAUCAGAAGGACGGCGCGUUUGUUUGAGGCACUUUUCACUUCAACUGUGUCUGACAGGAGAAUUAGCUUUCUGAGCCUUCUAACCGUUGAGUUACCAUGGCAACCGCGUACACAUCAGCUGCUGGAGAGGAGAGGACUAGUCUGACAUUUUCUCUGUUUCUCGUCAGUUAUACCAAAGAAAAGGCCAACAACUGGGACAUAUUGGUUAAGUAACACGUUAAUAUUAUCCUCAGUCUACUUUAAGUACUUUUUGUUAAUAUUUAUACCUCUGUGAUUAUGGUAUUUUUCCUGAAAUGUCUGCUAUCAAGUAUUACGCUAGCAUAGAAACAUAAUUAACGUUAUAGCAUAUUAG